CCUGGUGGCUCAGAGGUUAAAGCAUCUGCCUGCAAUGCAGAAGACCUGGGUUUGAUCCCUGAGUCAGGA
rnacentral:tRNA from 1 species